CAUGCAGUCGUACGCUUUUUCUUUCACCGGAGCUUGCUCCACCGAAAGAAAAGGAGUGGCGAACGGGUGAGUAACACGUGGGUAACCUACCCAUCAGAAGGGGAUAACACUUGGAAACAGGUGCUAAUACCGUAUAACAAUCGAAACCGCAUGGUUUUGAUUUGAAAGGCGCUUUCGGGUGUCGCUGAUGGAUGGACCCGCGGUGCAUUAGCUAGUUGGUGAGGUAACGGCUCACCAAGGCCACGAUGCAUAGCCGACCUGAGAGGGUGAUCGGCCACAUUGGGACUGAGACACGGCCCAAACUCCUACGGGAGGCAGCAGUAGGGAAUCUUCGGCAAUGGACGAAAGUCUGACCGAGCAACGCCGCGUGAGUGAAGAAGGUUUUCGGAUCGUAAAACUCUGUUGUUAGAGAAGAACAAGGAUGAGAGUAACUGUUCAUCCCUUGACGGUAUCUAACCAGAAAGCCACGGCUAACUACGUGCCAGCAGCCGCGGUAAUACGUAGGUGGCAAGCGUUGUCCGGAUUUAUUGGGCGUAAAGCGAGCGCAGGCGGUUUCUUAAGUCUGAUGUGAAAGCCCCCGGCUCAACCGGGGAGGGUCAUUGGAAACUGGGAGACUUGAGUGCAGAAGAGGAGAGUGGAAUUCCAUGUGUAGCGGUGAAAUGCGUAGAUAUAUGGAGGAACACCAGUGGCGAAGGCGACUCUCUGGUCUGUAACUGACGCUGAGGCUCGAAAGCGUGGGGAGCAAACAGGAUUAGAUACCCUGGUAGUCCACGCCGUAAACGAUGAGUGCUAAGUGUUGGAGGGUUUCCGCCCUUCAGUGCUGCAGCUAACGCAUUAAGCACUCCGCCUGGGGAGUACGACCGCAAGUGAAG
rnacentral:rRNA from 1 species